rnacentral:rRNA from 1 species
GAUGAACGCUAGCGGCAGGCUUAAUACAUGCAAGUCGAGGGGCAGCAGUUUUGUAGCAAUACAGAAGCUGGCGACCGGCAAACGGGUGCGGAACACGUACGCAACCUUCCUUUAACUGGGAGAUAGCCCACCGAAAGGUGGAUUAAUAUCCCAUAGUAUAUUUGAGUGGCAUCACUUAGAUAUUAAAGCUCCGGCGGUUAAAGAUGGGCGUGCGUCUGAUUAGGUAGUUGGCGGGGUAACGGCCCACCAAGCCCACGAUCAGUAGCUGAUGUGAGAGCGUGAUCAGCCACACGGGCACUGAGACACGGGCCCGACUGCUACGGGAGGCAGCAGUAAGGAAUAUUGGUCAAUGGACGCAAGUCUGAACCAGCCAUGCCGCGUGGAGGAUGAAGGUCCUCUGGAUUGUAAACUUCUUUUCUUUGGGACGAAACCCCUGUUUCUACGGGGACUGACGGUACCAGAGGAAUAAGCACCGGCUAACUCCGUGCCAGCCGCCGCAGUAAAAC